GAUGAACGCUGGCGGCGUGCCUAAUACAUGCAAGUCGAGCGAACAGAUAAGGAGCUUGCUCCUUUGACGUUAGCGGCGGACGGGUGAGUAACACGUGGGUAACCUACCUAUAAGACUGGGAUAACUUCGGGAAACCGGAGCUAAUACCGGAUAAUAUUUCGAACCGCAUGGUUCGAUAGUGAAAGAUGGUUUUGCUAUCACUUAUAGAUGGACCCGCGCCGGAUUAGCUAGUUGGUAAGGUAACGGCUUACCAAGUCGACGAUACGUAGCCGACCUGAGAGGGUGAUCGGCCACACUGGAACUGAGACACGGUCCAGACUCCUACGGGAGGCAGCAGUAGGGAAUCUUCGGCAAUGGGCGAAAGCCUGACGGAGCAAUGCCGCGUGCGGGAAGAAGGUCUUCGGAUUGUAAAAUGCUGUUAUUCGGGAAGAACCUGCGUUGAAUGAAAUGUGGAGCUAUUGACGGUACCGAAUCAGAAAGCCCCGGCUAACUACGUG
rnacentral:rRNA from 1 species